AGGGGAAUAUUGCACAAUGGAGGGAACUCUGAUGCAGCAACGCCGCGUGCGGGAUGACGGCCUUCGGGUUGUAAACCGCUUUCAGCCAUGACGAAGCUUUUGUGACGGUAGUGGUAGAAGAAGCACCGGCUAACUACGUGCCAGCAGCCGCGGUGAUACGUAGGGUGCGAGCGUUGUCCGGAAUUAUUGGGCGUAAAGAGCUUGUAGGCGGUUUGUCGCGUCGAUAGUGUAAACACGCAGCUUAACUGUGUGCCUGCUGUCGAUACGGGCUGACUAGAGGAGGGUAGGGGAGAAGGGAAUUCCCGGUGGCGCGGUGGAAUGCGCAGAUAUCGGGAGGAACACCAGUGGCGAAGGCGGUUCUCUGGACCUUUCCUGACGCUGAGAAGCGAAAGCGUGGGUAGCAAACAGG
rnacentral:rRNA from 1 species